AAGUCGUAACAAGGUUUCCGUAGGUGAACCUGCGGAAGGAUCAUUAUAGUAUAUGGAAUACCCAUUCUAUAAACCCACUCUGCGUAUCUUGUACUGUUGCUUCCAUGGGACUUGGUCCUGCCACACCGGCUUCACGGCUGGUGAGCGCCCAUGGGAGGAAAAACAAAACUCUUUUUUGAACUGUAGUCAGUCUGAACUUGUUUUUAUAAACGUUAAAACUUUCAACAACGGAUCUCUUGGUUCUC
rnacentral:misc_RNA from 1 species